rnacentral:tRNA from 1 species
UGGAGUAUAACUUAAUAAAGUAUUUCAUUUACACUGAAAGAAUAGUGAAAAUUCACUUGUUCCGA